rnacentral:rRNA from 1 species
UUGAUCCUGCGGAAGAUUGCUGCUAUUAGAAUCCGGCUAAGGCAUGCAAGUCAGAGGGCUUUUCGGAGCCCAGGCAAACUGCUCAGUAACACGUCAAUAACCUAACCUUAAGUCUAGGAUAACCUCGGAAAACUGAGGGUAAAACUGGAUAGAUGAGGAAAUUUGGAAUAAUUCUUCAUCCAAAAGCAAUGCUUAAGGAUGAGUUGGCGGCUGAUUAGGUUGUUGGUGAGGUAACGGCUCACCAAGCCGACGAUCAGUAGGGGCCCUGAGAGGGGUUGCCCCGAGAAGGACACUGAGACACUGGUCCUAGCCCUACGGGGUGCAGCGGCUGCGUAAACUCUACAAUGCGUGAAAACGUGAUAGGGGGAUUCUAAGUGCUUAUGCCUUUGGUAUAAGCUUUUGUCAUAUGUAAAAAGUAUGAUGAAUAAGUGGUGGGUAAGACGGGUGCCAGCCGCCGCGGUAACACCUGCGCCACAAGUGGCAAUCAUGUCUAUUGGGCCUAAAGCGUUCGUAGCCGGUUUAGUAAGUUCUAAGUGAAAUUAUUCUGCUCAACAGAAUAGCGUGCUCGGAAUACUGCUAAACUAGGGACCGGGAGACGUUAGAGGUAUGGAAAGGGAAGCGGUAAAAUGUGAUAAUCCUUUCUAGACCACCGAUGGCGAAGGCAUCUAACGAGAACGGGUCCGACGGUGAGGGACGAAAGCCAGGGGAGCAAAAGGGAUUAGAUACCCCUGUAGUCCUGGCUGUAAACGCUGUGAGCUAGGUGUUGUAUAUUCCACGCGAAUAUGCAGCGCCGUAGAGAAGUCGUUAAGCUCACCGCCUGGGUAGUACGGUCGCAAGGCUGAAACUUAAAGGAAUUGGCGGGGGAGCACCACAAGGGGUGCGGCGUGCGGUUUAAUUUAACUCAACGCAGAGAAUCUCACCAGGGGCGACGGCAGGAUGAUAGUCAACCUAAAGGGUUUACUGGACGAGCCGAGAGGUGGUGCAUGGCUGUCGUCAGCUCGUACCGUGAGGUGUCCAGUUAAGUCUGGCAACGAGCGAGACCCACACCUUUAAUUGUCAGCGAGUUCUUUAGAAUGAUCGGACACAUUAGAGGAACUGCCUUGGAAACAAGGAGGAAGGUGUGGGCGACGGUAAGUCUGUACGCCCCGAACCUCCUGGGCUACACGCGCGCAACAAUGGUAGGAACAAUGGGAUGCGACACCGAAAGGUGAAGCUAAUCCUCGAAAUCCUAUCUUAGUCUAGAUCGAGUUUUGUAACUCAGACUCGUGACACCGGAAUCCCUAGUAAUCGGAAGUUAUCAUCUUCCGGUGAAUGUGUCCCUGCUCCUUGCACACACCGCCCGUCAUUCCAACCGAGCAGAGUUAAAGUGAGGCUAUGUUUUUAAUGUAUUCGAACUUUAGCUCAGUGAGGCGGGACAAGUCGUCACAAGGUA